UUUUUUGUAAUUUUUUUUACCUUUUUUUUUUUUUUGAGACAAAGCCUGCCUCUGUAAAUCAUUGAAAAACAAUUAUUUUUCCUCAGUCUCUCUAGUGUUGACUUUCCUGGGUUGUUUCAUUACUAUCUCACAUUGAUUAUAGACUUCUGAAAAUCUUGUAUAUCAUACUGAUUCCUCUAGUAAAGGUAAAGAGAUAAAAGACCCACUCUGGGCUCUGUUCUGAUUCCAGCCCAAAGAUGGACAACAGUUGCCUCAGCAUGUCUGUCCCAUUUGUGUAUCUCCAAGAACUUGUCUUCAUUGAUCUUUCUGGAUCCUGGGAUCAGGCUUGAUAUGGUCAGAAGAAAAGUGGAGGACCCAAGGCUCACAGAGCCUCUCAACUACUCCCUGUUUAAUCAGAGAAAGACUUCAGCUUUAUUGCAUCUCUCCAUGGCACAGCUGAGGACAUCUAAGAUCUUACCUCCAUGUACUCACCUGGACCUCUGUGGUGCAGACAGGCUCUGGAGCAGCUCUGGGAAGGUGACACUUGCCAGGUCAUAUUUGUAGUGUCUGGAUCUGUGGGGCUCUUGGCUGCCAUCAGGUACUGCAGACUUCAGGUUGCAUGUUGUCACAGUGUCAGGGGGAAGGAAGGUGCCACUGCAGAGCUUCAGUCCCUGAAGUACAGCUGCCCUCUCUUCCACAGUUACAUCAUCUGUUUUGCUCAGAAGUUAUUUGCAGCUUCAUUAGGGACUGAUG
rnacentral:lncRNA from 1 species